GCCUACGGGGGGCAGCAGUGAGGAAUAUUGGUCAAUGGUCGGGAGACUGAACCAGCCAAGCCGCGUGAGGGAUGAAGGUACAGAGUAUCGUAAACCUCUUUUGUCAGGGAACAAAGGCGGGGACGCGUCCCCGGAUGAGUGUACCUGAAGAAAAAGCAUCGGCUAACUCCGUGCCAGCAGCCGCGGUAAUACGGAGGAUGCGAGCGUCACUCGGAAUCACUGGGCGGAAAGAGUGCGCAGGCGG
rnacentral:rRNA from 1 species